UCCCAUAGUGGAAUUUAGCAUAGACUCGAGAUCUUCAGACAGCAUGCUGUGUACCAAAGCUCCUACAGGUGUCCAUUUGUUAUCAUUCUGAAGGGUUUCUCAUCAGCAGAAGGAAUGUGUCUCAAAAGACCGAUCCUGUGUGUGUUUAUGCUGAAAUAAAUACCAAUGUAUUCAAUGGGGUUUACUCCCAGCUAUCAAGUCUUCUGCUUUCCUUCCUGUGAAAUAAUCUAGUACCUGGAGCCUUCCUGUUUGUCCUACCCAUCAAAGAUUAUUCCCAGAGAACUCUCCUAGAAAAUCUGUGCCUACCAUACAUAUUUUCCAUAUCUGUCAUCUUAUUACAACUAUAUAUGCCAAUCCAGUGCCAAAUCUAAUCUCUACCCUGUUGAAAAUCCACACAUUCCUGUCUUAAGCCUGGAGGCUGUGUUUGUCCUACACUAGCUCAUCUUAAGGAUCCCAGGGAAGUUGCACUUCCUGGAAGAGCAGAGUCGCAUCUGAUAGGGCAAAGUCUCAUUCAGUAGAGCACAUUCACAUUUGACAGAGCAGAGUCUCUGGUAGGCAGGGGGAUUGCAACAGGCAAGCACAGUCUGUCGGAACCCUGGAGAAAUGGCUGCAGCAACUGCUGCCUGGAAUUCACCCAACGUAAGCUAUUGUCUCAGCAGCAUGGAGAGGCCUUCUGAGACUUCUCGAAGCUAGCUGGGCUGGACCUGCUGUUAACCUCCCCCUGCCCCUCAAAGAGGAGUGUGUUUCUGCAGCUGCUGAGCACUACAGCAUGGGGAUGGUGAGGACUGCAUAAAGGGGUUAGGUAAAACCACAUCCUCCUAAGGUCUUCUAAGAACAGGUGUUGGGUAGCAGGAUGCCCAGCAGAUCUCCAUAUUGCCAGUGACCCUGAAGAGCCAAUAGAUGUGGGCAUCCCUGCCCCAGGACUGGAGGUCCCCGCAUCAACAUGACAGUGUUUUCCAAAUCAUGAAAAAGGCUUGUAGCACAAAUUCUUUGGUUUUAGUUUUUCUUUAUUGUGACAUUCCUAAGGAUAAAGCCUUGCACGGUAGUUCCUUACGCUUUAUGAAUAAUCAAAGCCACUACCACCACCCAACUUCUUCUAAUGCAAGAGCAGACAAGCUGAUGGGCAAAAGCCUUUUCUGCAAGAGAUGGUUAAGGAUCUCUGACAAAGAAUUCUCAGCACUUCAUCACAUCAUGAUUAUCCAACUUUCUUCAGGGAAGCCAAGCAAAUUAAAGUGAUGCAAAAACAACAUAAGCUUGAAAUGUGACAGCAUACAAGUGACAGGACAAAGAGACCCUCCAUCAUGUUCAGCAGCCUUCUACAGAGAUUUGGUGUAAUGUGUAGAAUAGCAAUAAGAAAUUGGAAGGAUGGGAAAAUAUUCAGCUAAGGUUGGGUUAUCCUGCCCAGGCAGGAAUUGAUGGUGAAAAAACCCCCGCAACAGAUCUAUAGAGAACUCUGCCUUACUGGUAUGAAAUAUUUAGCUACCCUAAAGGCACAUGGUUAGAUCUGAGAUAUUUGUCUUUGUCCUUCUCACUUAAGGUAGGAAAACAGUGUGUUAGAAAGAGUAUAUGAAACUGUAUUUUUGAAAAAAUACAAGGAAAAUAAAUCCAUCUCUAUGUUUUAAGUA